rnacentral:tRNA from 1 species
UUUGGCAAUGGGGCGUGGCUAAACUCUGCUUUUUUACUCGGAGUCUGAAAACGCAGUUCUGCUGCCGCGUUACCAAGG